rnacentral:rRNA from 1 species
CCCUUAGACGUUCUGGGCCGCACGCGCGCUACACUGACCAGUGCAACAAGCAUCCGUCCUUGGCCGACAGGCCCGGGCAAUCUUUGAACGCUGGUCGUGAUGGGGAUAGACUUUUGCAAUUUUUGGUCUUCAACGAGGAAUUCCUAGUAAACGCAAGUCAUCAACUUGCAUUGAUUACGUCCCUGCCCUUUGUACACACCGCCCGUCGCACCUACCGAUUGAAUGGUCCGGUGAAGCCUCCGGAUUGGCGCGCACCUCGGUGCCGCCGAGAAGUUGGCUAAACCUUACCAUUUAGAGGAAAGUGAAGUCGUAACA